AUGGCUCUUGUUGCCGACGAGCUCAAGGCCAAGGCCGAGGUGUACUACGACGAUGAGAUUUGCCAGCAGUGCACCAGGCUCCUGCUCAAGGAAGCAGGCCUCCCCAAUGGCCUGCUUCCCCUGAAGGACAUCAUGGAGUGCGGCUAUGUCGAGGAGACUGGGUAUGUGUGGCUCAAGCAAAAGAAGAGGAUAGACCACGUCUUCCAGAGCCUGGGGAGGGUGGUGUCUUAUGGCACUGAGAUCACUGCCUUCGCCGGGAAGGGCAGGAUCAAGAAGGUCAAAGGGAUAAAGACCAGGGAGCUCAUGGUGUGGCUCCCUGUGGAGGAGAUCUCCCUUGACGAACCAGCGACUGGUAAGCUCAUCUGCAAGAGCAUUGCCGGCUUUUCUAAGAUCUUCCCUGCAUCAGCUUUCCACAUCCCAGAGAAGGAGAAUGAGAAGGCCAACUGCGCCGGACCAAAACCAGUGGUCCUCAUGGAGAGGGCAGCACCAGUUGUUAAGAACAACUGA
rnacentral:rRNA from 1 species